CCUACGGUGGGCAGCAGUGGGGAAUAUUGGGCAAUGGGCGCAAGCCUGACCCAGCAACGCCGCGAGAAGGAAGAAGGCUUUCGGGUUGUACACUUCUUUUAAGAGGGAAGAGUAGAAGACGGUACCUCUUGAAUAAGCCACGGGUAACUACGUGCCAGCAGCCGCGGUAAUACGUAGGUGGCAAGCGUUGUCCGGAUUUACUGGGUGUAAAGGGCGUGUAGCCGGGCCGGCAAGUCAGAUGUGAAAUCCGAAGGCGCAACCUUGGAACUGCAUUUGAAACUGUUGGUCUUUAGUAUCGGAGAGGCAGGCGGAAUUCCUAGUGUAGCGGUGAAAGGCGUAGAUAGUAGGAGGAACACCAGUGGCGAAGGCGGCCUGCUGGACGACAACUGACGGUGAGGCGCGAAAGCGUGGGGAGCAAACAGGAUUAGAUACCCCAGUAGUC
rnacentral:rRNA from 1 species